UACGUAGGGGCCUAGCGUUGUCCGGAAUUAUUGGGCGUAAAGAGCUCGUAGGCGGUUUGUCGCGUCUGUCGUGAAAGCCCAGGGCUCAACCCUGGACCUGCAGUGGGUACGGGCAGACUAGAGUGCGGUAGGGGAGAUCGGAAUUCCUGGUGUAGCGGUGAAAUGCGCAGAUAUCAGGAGGAACACCGGUGGCGAAGGCGGAUCUCUGGGCCGUAACUGACGCUGAGGAGCGAAAGCAUGGGGAGCGAACAGG
rnacentral:rRNA from 1 species